rnacentral:rRNA from 1 species
GACGAACGCUGGCGGCGUGCCUAAUACAUGCAAGUAGAACGCUGAAGGGGGAGCUUGCUUCUCUGGAUGAGUUGCGAACGGGUGAGUAACGCGUAGGUAACCUGCCUGGUAGCGGGGGAUAACUAUUGGAAACGAUAGCUAAUACCGCAUAAUAGUAGAUGUUGCAUGACAUUUGCUUAAAAGGUGCAGUUGCAUCACUACCAGAUGGACCUGCGUUGUAUUAGCUAGUUGGUGGGGUAACGGCUCACCAAGGCGACGAUACAUAGCCGACCUGAGAGGGGGAGCGGCCGCACUGGGAGGGUGACCCGGCCCAGAGUGCUACAGGAGGGAGCAGGAGGGAAUCGUCGGCAAGGGACGGAAGUCUGACCGAGCAACGCCGCGGGAGGGAAGAAGGUUGUCGGGUGGGAAAGGUCUGUUGUCAGAGAAGAAAGAGUGUGAGAGUGGAAAGUUCACACUGUGACGGUAUCUGACCAGAAAGGGACGGCUAACUACGUG